CAGUAGCCGCGGGAAAACGAAGGGGGCUAGCGUUGUUCGGAUUUACUGGGCGUAAAGGGCGCGUAGGCGGACUGAUAAGUCAGGGGUGAAAUCCCAAGGCUCAACCUUGGAACUGCCUUUGAUACUGUUUGUCUUGAGUUCGAGAGAGGUAAGUGGAACUGCGAGUGUAGAGGUGAAAUUCGUAGAUAUUCGCAAGAACACCAGUGGCGAAGGCGGCUUACUGGCUCGAAACUGACGCUGAGGCGCGAAAGCGUGGGGAGCAAACAGGAUUAGAUACCCCUGUAGUCCCUGUCUCUUAUAC
rnacentral:rRNA from 1 species